UGCCCAGCAACUCCUAUCCCUACCUCCACGCGGUACCGGCCGGAAACUAUGAGCAACCUUAGGGAAGAUCGGGUAACCAACCCCGGUGGAAACUUUGGUCGUAGGUUGACAGGGAAGG
rnacentral:ribozyme from 1 species